rnacentral:rRNA from 1 species
CACGUAGGGGGCAAGCGUUGCCCGGAUUUAUUGGGCGUAAAGGGCUCGUAGGCGGUUCGACAAGUCGGGUGUGAAACCUCCAGGCUCAACCUGGAGUCGCCGCUCGAAACUGUUGUGACUAGAGUCCGGUAGAGGAGCAUGGAAUUUGUGGUGUAGCGGUGGAAUGCGCAGAUAUCACAAGGAACACCAGUAGCGAAGGCGAUGCUCUGGGCCGGUACUGACGCUGAGGAGCGAAAGCAUGGGGAGCGAACAGG